rnacentral:rRNA from 1 species
UACGUAGGGUGCAAGCGUUAAUCGGAAUUACUGGGCGUAAAGCGUGCGCAGGCGGUUUUGUAAGUCUGUCGUGAAAUCCCCGGGCUCAACCUGGGACCUGCAUUUGUGACUGCAUUGCUGGAGUGCGGCAGAGGGGGAUGGAAUUCCGCGUGUAGCAGUGAAAUGCGUAGAUAUGCGGAGGAACACCGAUGGCGAAGGCAAUCCCCUGGGCCUCACUGACGCU